GUGCAGUGUUUGUGUGUGAACAGUUCGCUGGAACAGAGCUCUAAACAACACAGAAACAGGAUGAGGGCCACAAACGAACUGAAAUCCUCCAUGAAGUAACAUCUCAUCAUCAUCUCAUCACACUGACGUCAGCGCAGAUAGAGUUCAAAACAAACAUUUGGUCAUAUCUGCUAAUGUCCUGAGUUCAGUCCUGAGUUCAGUCCUUCACAGACCCACCAUCCCGCUGUGCUCAGCGCUGCUGUCCUUCAACAGCACACACGUGUCACUCCUAAUUCACCCUCAAACGGGCCUCUACAUGCGUGAAGGGCAGAGAAACAGCAGGACUGAUGCAUGAUGGGAAAUGACUGACAGCGGUCAAUCAGCUCUAAAUGACAGAUUUUCAUUAUUACAUGCAGAUAUGAAUUCCUCUGGGAUCUGGUGUGUGUGUGUGUGUGUGUGUGAGAGAGUGUGUGUGUGUGUGCGUGUGUGUGUGUGUGUGUGUGUUUGUGUGACACACUGGCGUCCUCUAGAGACACAUCCGCUCUGUUUCCCAUGAUGCAGCAGAAAUGCUGACACGUCUGAAUUAUGUCUCAUGUGACGUCGCAGCGAGGACAAUGACAGCUAGUCCUAACAGAGCAGCGGCCAUACAGUAUGUUUAUAUAUAUUAAUAAAUG